rnacentral:rRNA from 1 species
AGCAGCCGCGGUAAUUCCAGCUCCAAUAGCGUAUAUUAAAGUUGUUGCAGUUAAAAAGCUCGUAGUUGAAUUUCGGGAUCAAUUAAUCGGUCGUGCCUCUGGUACGCACUGGUUUUAUUGGUUUCUCCCUUCUGACGAACCAGGAUGUCAUUAAUUUGGUGUCUUGGAGAAUCAGGACUGUUACUUUGAAAAAAUUAGAGUGUUUAAAGCAGGCUUCUAGGCAUGAAUACAUUAGCAUGGAAUAAUGAAAUAGGACGUUUGAUCCUAUUUUGUUGGUUUCUAGGAUCGACGUAAUGAUUAAUAGGGAUAGUUGGGGGCAUUAGUAUUCAAUUGUCAGAGGUGAAAUUCUUGGAUUUAUUGAAGACUAACUAUUGCGAAAGCAUUUGCCAAGGAUGUUUUCAUUAAUCAAGAACGAAAGUUAGGGGAUCGAAGACGAUCAGAUACCGUCGUAGUCUUAACCAUAAACUAUGCCGACUAGGGAUCGGAUGAUGUUAAUUUUUUAAUGACUCAUUCGGCGCCUUACG